AGGGAAAUAGCUCAGUGGUAGAGCGCAUGCUUAGCAUGCAUGAGGUCCUGGGUUCAAUCCCUGGUACCUCUG
rnacentral:tRNA from 1 species